rnacentral:lncRNA from 1 species
UCUCUGAUAAACUAUUUUUAUUUUUAUUUUUCAUUGACAAUAUAAUACAAAGAACAAGGAAAUCAACUAAAAGAAUAUACAGAUCAUAGAUGAAAAUGCUAAAAGAAGAAGAUGAUGUAUUCAGAAAGAAGAACGAUUACUGAAUAAUUAAAAAAAAAAUCUUCUUUAUUUUGAUCUUCAACCUUCCUUGAUAAGGUGACACUGAAUUGAAUCAGUAAACUAUCCAUCAAAAACUCUUCACGGAGACUUCUAUUCCUCUGGAUUUGCAAGAGAUUCUUCAUUUUUGCCACUGAUGAUAGUGAAUUCUAACAAAAAUGCAUCCCAUAAAGAUACAAAAAUUGUUAUUUUCAAAAGGAAAAAAGAAAACGAGAACUAGAAGAGGAACAAAAGAAAAAUAUUACCUUUUCAUAGUCAGGUUAGGAGACUCUAGUUUUUCUUAAAAUCAUUCAUAAGACGAAUAGAAUCAUGACUCAUAAUAAACAUCUAAAAAAAGAUGGUUGAUUCUUGUUGAUUUUUAUAAAUCAAAUAACCUAGAAUUUAUUGUUUAAGAUGAUAAAAAAGUUUUAAGAGAUAGAUAAGAAGAAGGACGGAGGAAUGAAUGACAGAUCGAAAAUAAUAUGCCUUCUUAGUUCUUAUGGUGAAACAGUUAAGAAGAACAUGGGGGAAAAUAAAUUAAAGUUAAAAACUAACUAAAGCCAUGAAAAUAGUAACCACAUCUCGUAAUUUAAAAACACUAAAUUUUAUAUUAAAAUAAAUCUUUUAAGUGAUGCAAAUUUUGUUAAAAAAAUCUAAAAUUAUAUAUAGUAACCUAAUUUUUGUUAGUAUCAGUUUAUUACUGAUGUAAAUCUUGAAUCAUUGUAAUAAAUGAUGUUAACCAAUAAAAUAUAUGUAUCAAUUAUCUAAAUGAUGUAACUUUAUAUAAUAACAUCACUUAUUUUAAAAUUAUACAAUUUAAUAAAAAUUAUACCAAUUUAUUGAACUGAUGUUAAAUUAGUUAAUAUUAAUAUCACUUAUACAAACUGAUUUUGAAUUUUAUAUAUUUAUGUCAUUUCUAAAUAAGUAAUUUAAUAUAAGAUCAUUUACAUAACUGAUACAUUUUAAGUAGGCAUGGGCAUUCGGGGUCCCAAUCGGUUUUUGGUUUUAUCCAAUCGGGUUUCGGUUUUUCGGGUUUAUCAAAAUCAGCUCCAUUCAGAUUAUAUGAAAGUUCGGUUCGGGACCGGUUCGGGUCGAGGUUAGUAAAUCUCUAAAGAACCGGUACAACCCAAUAUACUUUCGGGUUCGGGUCCCAAUCGGUUUUUCGGUUUAAAAGUACCUGAUUUUUACCUAUUUUAUAACCAAAACAUGAGUAAAAUCGGUUCUUCAGUUUUAAAAUACCUGAUUUGUACCUAUUUUGUAACCAAAACUUAAGUAAAAUCGAUUCAAAAAUAAGGAACAUCAACCCUGAUCAUUCAAAAUCAAACGAAAAGUAAACAUAUUUACUGAUAAAAAGAAAACCAAAUAAAUAAAAGCAUAAAACAAAAACUAAGUUCUCAUGAAAUGAGAAGCAUUGUUUAACGAAAACAAAAUCUAAAUCUAAAUACUUCAAGAUUCAACGGCCAUCUUUGACCAUCAACCUUCAUGUAAUAGAACCACCAACCUUCAUGUAAUAGAUAAAUAUUUUAGAUGUUCAAUAUUUCUUAGUGUAUUUUGGAUACAUAUUAGGAAUUGAGAUCAUGUUUGGUACAAGAUUUUUUUGAGGUUUUGAAUGUUCAAUAUUUCUUAGUGUAUUUCUUAGUGUAUUAGAUGUUCAAUAUUUCUUAGUGUAUUUUAGAUAAGUAUUUUAGAUGUUCAAUAUUUCUUAGUGUAUUUUGGAUACAUAUUAGGAAUUGAGAUCAUGUUUGGUACAAGAUAUUUUUGAGGUUUUGAAUGUUUCGGGUUCUAUCGGAUAUCCAUUUAGAUUCGGAUUCGGUUCGGAUAAUACCCAUAACCCGAAAUACCACAAAACAAGACUCAUUCAGUAUUUACGUCGGGUUCGAAUCGGUUCGGAUUUAUUUUUAUCGGAUCGGAUUCGGUUCGGGUUUUCGGGUUCGGUUUAUUUGCCCAGCCCUAAUUUUAAGUGAUACAAUUCAAUCAUUUUUUUUGUAGUGGUGGUAUAUUUCGUAAAUAACAUGUCAUAUAAAAGUUAAUUUUAUGUGAUUUUUGUUUUAAUUAAAAAUCUGUGAAACUUAACAUAACAUCGUAUAUAUAUAAUGAAAAAAAUCAAUACAUAUAUAUAAAAUUUUCUUUUAAUGGACUACAUAUGUCCAACUUCACCGUCAGGCUUCAAAUGUCUAGUUAUUAAUUGUUUUUUUAACGCUGAUAAUUAUGUUAUUACGAACUAUAUGAGAAAUAUUGUAAAUGAUUCUAUAGCUGAUAAUUUUACAUGUUUUAUGAGGAUGUACGCUUAACUGCAUCACCUGAGCCGUCCUAUAGGAUCCACGUUGUAGACUUUUUGUAAGCAUUUUCUUCAUUAAUUCGCAUAAUUCUGCAUUCUCUAUGGAUCGAAACUUAAAC